GUCCCCUUCGUCUAGAGGCCUAGGACACCGCCCUUUNCGGUAACAGGGGUUCGAACCCCCUAGGGGACGCCA
rnacentral:tRNA from 1 species